rnacentral:rRNA from 1 species
AUUGAACGCUGGCGGCAUGCCUAACACAUGCAAGUCGCACGGGGGUCGCGAGGCCCCAGUGGCGGACGGGUGAGUAACGCGUAGGAAUCUGCCCUGGAGUGGGGGACAACCUGGGGAAACUCAGGCUAAUACCGCAUGAGCUCGGGAGAGGAAAGCGGGGGGACCUUCGGGCCUCGCGCUGCAGGAUGAGCCUACGUCCGAUCAGCUGGUUGGUGGGGUAAAGGCCCACCAAGGCGACGAUCGGUAGCUGGUCUGAGAGGAUGAUCAGCCACACUGGGACUGAGACACGGCCCAGACUCCUACGGGAGGCAGCAGUGGGGAAUAUUGGACAAUGGGCGCAAGCCUGAUCCAGCAAUGCCGCGUGGGUGAAGACGGCCUGCGGGUUGUAAAGCCCUUUGGGUGGGGAAGAACGGCGGGCGGCGAACAGCGGCCUGUUUUGACAUUACCCACGAAACAAGCACCGGCUAACUCCGUGCCAGCAGCCGCGGUAAAGUAGACGUCUC